UGGCCUGAUUUGCUUGUGGAUCCAUCGUCUCAUCCCGUCGUCCCUGUCAUCUCGUCACUGGCGGCGGCGGCGGCGUCGCAGCAGCAGCAGCUGCCGUUCGCUCGUGGGAUCUCUAAAGUUGGCGCUGGGACCAGGGAGAUUGUCGUCGUCACACCCCCGUCUGUCUAUCCGUGGAUCCGCUAGGAAUGUUGCUGCAUGGAUCGAUAGGAUGUUGCUGCGGGGUGCAGGGGCCCAAGGCAUCGGCAGUGAUGGAGAGGAGGAGCAUGCGCACGUCGGCGGCGGCUAUCGCUGCCGGCGACCAGUAGCGGCGACGGGGGUGCUUGGCGGCCGCGCAUGAUCCAAACUGACGAGGAUUCGAUCUGCAAUCUGUGCUGCAUGAAGACCUGCGAUGCGUCAAGGAAUUGAGCUCGUGUUGAGAUCUAUUUUGCUGGAAUUGACCUGUGUUGCUGUCUUGUGUUGAUUUAACAAGGAGCAAGGUCACAAAUCUAUAUCUUGAAUUGAGCAGUGUUCUGUAAAAAAAUAUUUGUUGAUGUUUGCUACUAGUAUUUGAUUCAAUUUAUUAUCUAUAAAAUUUGGUAUGCAACGCUUCUCUU